rnacentral:rRNA from 1 species
AGAGUUUGAUCCUGGCUCAGAUUGAACGCUGGCGGCAUGCCUAACACAUGCAAGUCGAACGGUAGCAGGCCUUCGGUGCUGACGAGUGGCGGACGGGUGAGUAAUGCGUAGGAAUCUGUCUUUUAGUGGGGGACGAACCCAGGGAAACUUGGGCGUAAUACCGCAUGAGCCCUGAGGGGGAAAGCGGGGGAGUCUUCGGACCUCGCGCUGAAGGAGCGGCCGAUGUCCGAUUAGCUAGUUGGUGAGGUAAAGGCUUACCAAGGCGACGAUCGGUAGCUGGUCUGAGAGGAUGAUCAGCCACACUGGGACUGAGACGCGGCCCAGACUCCUACGGGAGGCGAC